UGCCAGCAGCCGCGGUAAUACGGAGGGGGUUAGCGUUGUUCGGAAUUACUGGGCGUAAAGCGCACGUAGGCGGAUUAAUAAGUCAGGGGUGAAAGCCCAGGGCUUAACCCUGGAAUUGCAUUCGAUACUGCUUGACUAGAGUAUGGUAGAGGGAAGUGGAAUUUCAAGUGUAGCGGUGAAAUGCGUAGAUAUUUGAAGGAACACCAGUGGCGAAGGCGACUUCCUGGGCCAAUACUGACGCUGAGGUGCGAAAGCGUGGGGAGCGAACAGGAUUAGAUA
rnacentral:rRNA from 1 species